CGCCCGCCGCGCGCGGCGGGCCUACGGGAGGCAGCAGUGGGGAAUAUUGCACAAUGGGCGCAAGCCUGAUGCAGCCAUGCCGCGUGUGUGAAGAAGGCCUUCGGGUUGUAAAGCACUUUCAGCGGGGAGGAAGGCGAUACGGUUAAUAACCGUGUUGAUUGACGUUACCCGCAGAAGAAGCACCGGCUAACUCCGUGCCAGCAGCCGCGGUAAUA
rnacentral:rRNA from 1 species